rnacentral:misc_RNA from 1 species
UCGUAUCUCUGGUGGCGUGGGUGCGCCCUGCUCCGGCCGACAACGCCGUGCAGCGGGACACCCGUGUCGCCCAACCUUUGCAUACCCACCGUGAACCUUUACGGCAGAGGGUGCCGGCGAGAGCUGGUGCCCCGCGCCGAAUUUUUACCAAAAACUCCUGAAUGCAACUCUUUGGUGGACUCAGCUCUGCCCGAGAAAAUAGA